rnacentral:rRNA from 1 species
AGGUANUGACGNNAAAYAACGAUACGGSACUCAUCCGAGGCCCNGUAAUCGGAAUGAGUACACUUUAAAUCCUYYAACGAGGAUCCAUUGGAGGGCAANUCUGGUGCCAGCAGCCGCGGUAAUUCCAGCUCCAAUAGCGUAUAUUAAAGUUGUUGCGGUUAAAAAGCUCGUAGUUGAAUCUGUGUGCCACGCUGUCGGUUCAUCGCUCGCGAUGUUUAACUGACAUGAUUGUGGGACGUCCUACCGGUGGACUUAGCCUCUAUCUCUUCGGAUUUAGGGGCGGUCCAGCUAAUAUCCCAUCGCGGUGCUUUUCAUCGAGUGUCGAGGUGGGCCGGUACGUUUACUUUGAACAAAUUAGAGUGCUCAAAGCAGGCCAUCCUCGCCUGAAUACUGUGUGCAUGGAAUAAUGGAAUAGGACCUCGGUUCUAUUUUGUUGGUUUUCGGAACCCCGAGGUAAUGAUUAAUAGGGACAGAUGGGGGCAUUCGUAUUGCGACGUUAGAGGUGAAAUUCUUGGAUCGUCGCAAGACGGACAGAAGCGAAAGCAUUUGCCAAAAAUGUUUUCAUUAAUCAAGAACGAAAGUUAGAGGUUCGAAGGCGAUCAGAUACCGCCCUAGUUCUAACCAUAAACGAUGCCAGCUAGCGAUCCGCCGAAGUUCCUUUGAUGACUCGGCGGGCAGCUUCCGGGAAACCAAAGCUUUUGGGUUCCGGGGGAAGUAUGGUUGCAAAGCUGAAACUUAAAGGAAUUGACGGAAGGGCACCACCAG